UCUCAAAGAACUAAAGACGUUUCCAAUACCGACAGCGGCUCCCGCUGAAGCAAUUGUAGCAGCUCCGGCACCUAUUGAUUUUGCACCUUCUAACAUCUUUUUCUU